rnacentral:rRNA from 1 species
AUUGAACGCUGGCGGCAGGCUUAACACAUGCAAGUCGACGCGGGGAAAKGUAGCUUGCUACMUWACCUAGCGGCGGACGGGUGAGUAAUGCUUAGGAAUCUGCCUAUUAGUGGGGGACAACAUCUCGAAAGGGAUGCUAAUACCGCAUACGUCCUACGGGAGAAAGCAGGGGACCUUCGGGCCUUGCGCUAAUAGAUGAGCCUAAGUCGGAUUAGCUAGUUGGUGGGGUAAAGGCCUACCAAGGCAUCGAUCUGUAGCGGGUCUGAGAGGAUGAUACGCCACACUGGGAGUGAGACACGGCCCAGACUCCUACGGGAGGCAGCAGUGGGGAAUAUUGGACAAUGGGGGGAACCCUGAUCCAGCCAUGCCGCGUGUGUGAAGAAGGUUCUUUGGUUGUAAAGCACUUUAAGCGAGGAGGAGGCUACCGAGAUUAAUACUCUUGGAUAGUGGACGUUACUCGCAGAAUAAGCACCGGCUAACUCUGUGCCAGCAGCCGCGGUA